rnacentral:rRNA from 1 species
AGUGAACGCUGGCGGUAGGCCUAACACAUGCAAGUCGAACGGCAGCACAGAGGAGCUUGCUCCUUGGGUGGCGAGUGGCGGACGGGUGAGGAAUACAUCGGAAUCUACCCUGUCGUGGGGGAUAACGUAGGGAAACUUACGCUAAUACCGCAUACGACCUUCGGGUGAAAGAGGGGGCUCGCAAGACCUCUCGCGAUUGGAUGAGCCGAUGUCGGAUUAGCUAGUUGGCGGGGUAAAGGCCCGCCAAGGCGACGAUCCGUAGCUGGUCUGAGAGGAUGAUCAGCCACACUGGAACUGAGACACGGUCCAGACUCCUACGGGAGGCAGCAGUGGGGAAUAUUGGACAAUGGGCGCAAGCCUGAUCCAGCCAUACCGCGUGGGUGAAGAAGGCCUUCGGGUUGUAAAGCCCUUUUGUUGGGAAAGAAAUCCUGUCGGUUAAUACCCGGCGGGGAUGACGGUACCCAAAGAAUAAGCACCGGCUAACUUCGUGCCAGCCGCCGCCGUAAAAC